rnacentral:rRNA from 1 species
CCUACGGGUGGCAGCAGUGAGGAAUAUUGGUCAAUGGGCGCAAGCCUGAACCAGCCAAGUCGCGUGAGGGAUGAAGGUUCUAUGGAUCGUAAACCUCUUUUAUAAGGGAAUAAAGUGUGGGACGUGUCCUAUUUUGUAUGUACCUUAUGAAUAAGGAUCGGCUAACUCCGUGCCAGCAGACGCGGUAAUACGGAGGAUCCGAGCGUUAUCCGGAUUUAUUGGGUUUAAAGGGUGCGUAGGCGGCCUUUUAAGUCAGCGGUGAAAGUCUGGGGCUCAACCCUGGAAUUGCCGUGGAAACUGGAGGGCUUGGGUUUGUAUAGGGCAGGCGGAUUGCGUGGUGUGGCGGUGAA